GACGAACGCUGGCGGCGUGCUUAACACAUGCAAGUCGAACGGAAAGGCCCUGCUUUUGUGGGGUGCUCGAGUGGCGAACGGGUGAGUAACACGUGAGUAACCUGCCCUUGACUUUGGGAUAACUUCAGGAAACUGGGGCUAAUACCGGAUAGGAGCUCCUGCUGCAUGGUGGGGGUUGGAAAGUUUCGGCGGUUGGGGAUGGACUCGCGGCUUAUCAGCUUGUUGGUGGGGUAGUGGCUUACCAAGGCUUUGACGGGUAGCCGGCCUGAGGGGGUGACCGGCCACCUUGGGUGGGAGUUAGGCCCAGACCCCCUUAGGAGGGGAGGAGGGGGGAGGGUGGAAAAGAGGGGGGACGCCAGCAUGAGCAAGCCCGGGCGCGGGAGGGAUGCCGUCGGGUGGGAAGCCGAUUUCUUUUGGAAGGGAGGGUAAUGACGGUAACGGGAGAAAAAGCCCCGGCUAACUCCGUG
rnacentral:rRNA from 1 species